rnacentral:lncRNA from 1 species
AAGAAAUACUUCUGAGCCUGAGGACAGCCAACCAGUAACUGCAGCAGGGAUGUGACUACAGAGAACCGCUUGUGCUUGUCUCCUGGGAGCUCCCACAGCCCUGUGGAUGAUCUUUCGACAUCCACCAGUCAGUGGGACCCUGGGAUCCCCAGGUUUCUGCAGUUUACUACAGCCCUCACUGGUGAGUGAAAAGGUGGAGACCGUGCUUUCCAGCGCAAUCCAUGCGGCACCUUUGGCCACUGCUGAAACUGUCUGCAUGAAAGCACACAAGCAGGUGCUAACUCAUCGUCUCUGCUGGAGACAGUACUGGGUGAGGUGUCCUUUGUCUGGACCCGUAUGGCGCUCUUACGUUCUCACAGCUGACACAGGGCUGAUGUAG